GCGGUGGCGCCUACUCGUGCGCUCGCAGCGGCAACACCAACCGUUCGCACGCACCAUCGCAACUGCCAUCGCAAGAGCCGCCCCAUCCAAAAAUUCGUUCGCCCUAUUGCAUCCUUCUUCGAUUCCUCAUAGCCAUGUCUCCCUCACCUCCCUAGUAGCGCCCCUGUGCCAGAUGCUUGCAAGACCGACCAAGGUCCACCCCGAUGUCCUCCAUCUUGAUCUCGCAUAGGUUCCAGGGAGCUUUGUCGUCAUGCUGGGAACAGGGUCCUUGCCGCCGGUUUCCAUCACUACUAGGCAUGCCGCCGUGUCCAGCUCUGCUCCACCCACCUCGAACUUGCUGCAGGUAGGAUACACCAUGCGGGAGGUGACCCCUUUGCAACUUGGCCGGUUCUCAUGCUGAGCUAAGCCUUGUGUUGUCAUGGCGCGUUCAUUGCUGUGCGCCUCCGCCAUGGCCGCUGUCGUGGUGCCUGAUGCAUCUACUACCACUGGCUGCAUGCUCCCUCACCUCGUGAUGCAUGGCCAGGCUGUUGGGAGCCUAACCCCAACGGCCUCCACCUCUACACGACACUUAUGGCGUGGUCGUGGCGAGGCGUGCACCGACAACAAUCGGAGAGCAUGCCAGUGGUGGAGGACGGACUUGGGAGUGAGAAAGAGAAAGGGGACUGGAUUUGUUUGAUAAAUUGGCUUGGCCUCAGCGUCCUGCUGCACCGUAGCAUGGCCAUGUCAGAUGCUGGCAGCGGCGUGACGGGUUUUAGACUGCUAGUGUGUGAUGACGGUAGAUUAAGGACUCAGAUGGGAGAUUUUUUAGUUUGAGAACCCAAAUAAGAAUAUUCUAAAAGUUUAAGGACCCUAGGUGUAAUUUGGCUUGGGCCUUGUUACUGCGUGAAGAGGCCCGUGCAUGGUCUCUCUAGAACUGUAUAUAUACAGCUUCAUUGAUUCAUUCAAAUACUCACUCGUCUCGUAUAAUAUUGGCAAAU